AUCUCGUUAUGAGGGCAUCUACGAAUUAACUCCUGGAUUCUUUUCCACACCUUGUAUAGGGAAUCAUCAUCCAUUUGUUGAAAAGUGGUGAUCUCAUUCCACAACUU
rfam:Gossypium raimondii Chr10_contig_986, whole genome shotgun sequence.